UUUCCGUAGGUGAACCUGCGGAAGGAUCAUUAAUGGGAAAUCAAAUCAAAUCAAAACAAAUGUUCUGUUGCACUGGGUGUGCUGUGUGGUGGUGGUGUGAGACAUGGAGAUUCAAUCAUUGGAGAUUCAAUCAUUGGAGAUUCAAUCAUUGGAGAUUCAAUCAUUGGAGAUUCAAUCAUUGGAGAUUCAAUCAUUCAAUCUCAAUCAUUGGAGAUUCAAUCAUUCAAUCUCAAUCAUUCAAUCUCAAUCAUUCAAUCUCAAUCAUCGCCACACAACACAACUAUCUAUCACACUCGAUCAACAACAACACACUCACACACAACAGCAAACAACUUUUAACAAUGGAUCUCUUGGCUCUC
rnacentral:misc_RNA from 1 species